UACGGAGGGUGCAAGCGUUAUCCGGAUUCACUGGGUUUAAAGGGUGCGUAGGUGGGCAGUUAAGUCAGUGGUGAAACCUCCGGGCUUAACCCGGAAACUGCCAUUGAUACUAUCUGUCUUGAAUAUCGUGGAGGUAAGCGGAAUAUGUCAUGUAGCGGUGAAAUGCUUAGAUAUGACAUAGAACACCAAUUGCGAAGGCAGCUUACUACCCGAAUAUUGACACUGAGGCACGAAAGCGUGGGGAUCAAACAGG
rnacentral:rRNA from 1 species